rnacentral:rRNA from 1 species
UACGAAGGGGGCUAGCGUUGCUCGGAAUCACUGGGCGUAAAGGGCGCGUAGGCGGACUCUUAAGUCGGGGGGUGAAAGCCCAGGGCUCAACCCUGGAAUUGCCUUCGAUACUGAGAGUCUUGAGUUCGGAAGAGGUUGGUGGAACUGCGAGUGUAGAGGUGAAAUUCGUAGAUAUUCGCAAGAACACCAGUGGCGAAGGCGGCCAACUGGUCCGAUACUGACGCUGAGGCGCGAAAAGCGUGGGGAGCAAACAGGAUUAGAACCCCCUGU